rnacentral:pre_miRNA from 1 species
UAACUCUUCAAGGGGGUUGUGAAAUGUUGCCAUUUUAUUCAACUCAUAUCACAGCCAUUUUGAUGAGUUUCG